rnacentral:rRNA from 1 species
AGUGAACGCUGGCGGUAGGCCUAACACAUGCAAGUCGAACGGCAGCACAGUAAGAGCUUGCUCUUACGGGUGGCGAGUGGCGGACGGGUGAGGAAUACAUCGGAAUCUACUUUUUCGUGGGGGAUAACGUAGGGAAACUUACGCUAAUACCGCAUACGACCUACGGGUGAAAGCAGGGGAUCUUCGGACCUUGCGCGAUUGAAUGAGCCGAUGUCGGAUUCGCUAGUUGGCGGGGUAAAGGCCCACCAAGGCGACGAUCCGUAGCUGGUCUGAGAGGAUGAUCAGCCACACGGGAACUGAGACACGGUCCAGACUCCUACGGGAGGCAGCAGUGGGGAAUAUUGGACAAUGGGCGCAAGCCUGAUCCAGCCAUACCGCGUGGGUGAAGAAGGCCUUCGGGUUGUAAAGCCCUUUUGUUGGGAAAGAAAAGCAGCAGGUUAAUACCCCGCUGUUCUGACGGUACCCAAAGAAUAAGCACCGGCUAACUUCGUG